rnacentral:rRNA from 1 species
UACGAAGGGGGCUAGCGUUGUUCGGAAUUACUGGGCGUAAAGCGCACGUAGGCGGUUCGGCAAGUCAGCUGUGAAAUCUCCACGCUCAACGUGGAGGGGUCAGCUGAUACUGCUGUGACUCGAGUCCGGUAGGGGAGUGUGGAAUUCCCGGUGUAGCGGUGAAAUGCGCAGAUAUCGGGAGGAACACCAGUAGCGAAGGCGGCACUCUGGGCCGGUACUGACGCUGAGGAGCGAAAGCGUGGGGAGCAAACAGGG